GGGGACGUAGGUCAGUGCACAGCACCUGCCUGGCAAGCACAAGGCCCUGAGUUUGAUUCCCAGUGUCUCCC
rnacentral:tRNA from 1 species